GGGCAUAUCACAUUAAAACAUGGGUUCCUGUAUGAUCACCGAAGUUAACCAACAUUGAGCCUGGUCAGUAACUAGAUGGGUGACGACUUGGGAAUAUCAGAUGCUGUAAGC